CCUACAUCACCUCCCAUUCCGCCUUUGGCCCGCAACCGGCGUCCCUCUCCGUUGAUGGACUCCUACUCCUCCCCCUCGGCGGUACCGCCGGCAGCUGCUGAAACGGCACGGUACUCAUACCGCCCAAGGCUGCGGUGGCCGCCGGAUGUGGAGGAGUACUUCAUCAUGGCGUACGGCCGC
rnacentral:lncRNA from 7 species